UCAGGUAUUGGGCUUUGGAAAAGGGGUGGCUAAAUAGAACUAAAGACCUUGUGGCACUCAGCGCCCAGUGGUGCACGAAAUAUCCAGUUAAUGCCCUCAGUGAUAGCCAUUCGUUUUUUACCAAGGGUAGUAGAAGACGAAAUGGGUUCAUGCUACCAUGAGUUGGUUUGGAUACUCACAGAAAGAAUGGUCCCUUCAGGCAUUAUUCAACUUCCACAGCUCCUGCUCACUCUCAGCCACUGUGCUGUGUCUCUGCCACCAUGACACGGAACAGCUUUCACCAAGACAUACUUUAUUCAGCUGGGUGCUGAAAAAGAAUCUUGGAAAUUAGGAAACUGAAUGAGGCCUCAUUUCACACUCAGAAUGUGGGUUGCAAUAGUCACUUCCUCUGCUGCUGGGAAAGAAAGAAUUAUACUACCUUUUGAAUUUUGGAUUAAGGAGAGAGGUGUUGGCUUGUCAAACUACCAUGUAUUCCUCAAGACAUAUUUUUGUGGCUUUAUAAAAUUCAAUAUAUAUGUCUAAAUUCAAAAAUAUUUUGUUGCAAUCUGGCCCUUGGACAAACUGAGGCCCUAGCAACUGAUGUUUAUGGCUUUCCGUAGAACCUUUCAGAUAAAAUUUACACAGCAUUUUACUGCAGCUAUUUCACACAAAGCAGAGGAUUUUGCCACAAAACUGAAAGAAAAAAGAAACUGCAUUCUUAAAUUUUUCAUAAAUCAAAAGGUAUAAAAAUAUCUACCUAAACGAUAAAGGAGAUGAGAAACCCCACCCAUGAUGGGAAGAAAGCCUAUUUCAGUUUUGCCUUUACUUCAAGUUCUUUUUUCCAUAUCUGGAAUGCAAUCAGAAUUUUAAUCUUGCCUUGGGUUCCUCCUGGAUUUGGGGAGAAGACAAAACCUGAAAAUCUCUAAUCUGCAUGUGUUCAGCUGCGUAUCUUCUGGAUACGGAAGGAUCACACUGCACAGAGUGCUGGACUUGCAGGAGCCCCGCUUCUCAACCUCCAUCGCUUUAUGAAUGAAUUCACCAGAAAGAAAAGGAAGAAUCAACACUUUCAGAGAUGGAGCCUGUUGAGCCACAGUACCAACUAGUCAAUGCUGAAUCGACUUCUCCCUUUCUACAUUGCCUGAGAGAAGUCAUUGGGGAAUACUCUGUACACGAAUUUUCACUGUUGGGGAAAACAGAGAGUCAAGGGAUUGGAUUGUGGAUUGCAUUGGUGGUUUUCCUCAGUUUCCUCAUCUUCUCCACAAGUUUCUACAUAUCGAAUGCAGAGCAGCCCUUCUUCAAAGGACCUCCUACGGAAGCUGCUAAGGAACUCAGUCUGUAGCUCUGCGUGGAGCCAUGUGUAAACACUGAACUGAGACCUGCCACCUCCUACUACCUAAGGGCCCAUUUUCAUCUGAUAUCAUCCCCCAGAAACAAACUCAUGAUGACUUCCAUGUUUUUUUUAGAUUAGAUACAUGGAGAAUUUUCCUUUCCCUUAGAAUUAAAAUCCUGCAUUCUAAUUUUCA
ensembl:lncRNA LINC00943 long intergenic non-protein coding RNA 943